AGAGUUUGAUCCUGGCUCAGAUUGAACGCUAGCGGGAUGCCUUACACAUGCAAGUCGAACGGCAGCGCGGACUUCGGUCUGGCGGCGAGUGGCGAACGGGUGAGUAAUGUAUCGGAACGUGCCCAGUAGCGGGGACAACCACUCGAAAGAGUGGCUAAUACCGCAUACGCCCGUACGGGGAAAGGGGGGAUCGCAAGACCUCUCACUAUUGGAGCGGCCGAUAUCGGAUUAGCUAGUUGGUGGGGUAAAGGCCUACCAAGGCGACGAUCCGUAGCUGGUUUGAGAGGACGACCAGCCACACUGGGACUGAGACACGGCCCAGACUCCUACGGGAGGCAGCAGUGGGGAAUUUUGGACAAUGGGGAAACCCUGAUCCAGCCAUUCCGCGUGUGCGAUGAAGGCCUUCGGGUUGUAAAGCACUUUUGGCAGGAAAGAAAUCGUGUGGGUUAAUACCCUGCGCGGAUGACGGUACCUGCAGAAUAAGCACCGGCUAACUACGUG
rnacentral:rRNA from 1 species